rnacentral:rRNA from 1 species
AUGAUAAUGACAGUACCUGGUAAAGAAACCCCGGCUAACUCCGUGCCAGCAGCCGCGGUAAUACGGAGGGGGUUAGCGUUGUUCGGAAUUACUGGGCGUAAAGCGCGCGUAGGCGGAUUGGAAAGUCGGGGGUGAAAUCCCGGGGCUCAACCCUGGAACUGCCUUUGAAACUGUCAGUCUAGAGUUCGAGAGAGGUGAGUGGAAUUCCGAGUGUAGAGGUGAAAUUCGUAGAUAUUCGGAGGAAACACCAGUGGCGAAGGCGGCUCACUGGCUCGAUACUGACGCUGUAGGUGCGAAAGUGUGGGGAGCAAACAGGAUUAGAUACCCUGGUAGUCCAC